rnacentral:rRNA from 1 species
UACGAGGGGGGCAAAUGUUGUUCGGAAUCACUGGGCGUAGAGGGAGCGUAGGCGGGUUCUUAAGUAAGGUGUUUAAUCCCGGGGCCCAACCCCGGACCGGCACUUUAAACUGGGAAUCUUGAAUAGUGGAGAGGUCGGUGGAAUUGGGGGUGUAGCGGUGGAAUGCGUAGAGAUCCCCAAGAACACCAGUUGCGAAGGCGGCCGACUGGACACAUAUUGACGCUGAGGCUCGAAAGCAUGGGGAGCAAACAGG